ensembl:lncRNA
UGCCUUUUCUAACUUCAGCUUGAACAUCUAGAGUUCAUGGUUCACAUACUGUUGAAGCCUGGCUUGGAAAAUUUUGAGCAUUACUUUGCUAGCGUGUGAGAUGAGUGCUUAAAUGCUCACCUACUGAAAUUGACUGAUAAACCUAGGCAAAACUUUAACAUCCAAGGCAGAAACUCAUAGCUUUAAUUUUCAGUCCACAAGGGGGUCAGAGAAGAAAGUCCAGAGCCUGCUCUAGAAGGGUCAAUAGGAGAUCUUAGGCCAUAAAGCUGACAUAUCAAAGAGCCAUUCCUCAGCAUAACAGUGAACUUGAAAUAAAACACUCCUACUCCAAUCCCACCAAGAUGCUAAGGAAGACUGCCUGUUUUGAACCUCAGCACUCCAUGGGAAUGGGGAGAAUUUACCCCUGAUAAUUGACAACCACAAACCAGUGAGUUUCACAAAGUUUAACAGCACAAACCACACUGGUCAAAAAAACUUCAAGCUCAGAAUUUAGUUUAACAUGGCCCUGAACUGGUAUUGUCCCUAAGUUACCCAGUGGAAGCAAAAGUUCUGUCUAUAUUCUAGUUGGAAACGUCUCUCCUUAGCUGUGUCUAAUAUACCAUUAAAUCCACCUACUAGAUUUAAAAAAUUUUCAUUUCUAGAUGCUCUAUUUGGAUAAAUUCUGUAUAAAUUACCUACUUAUGCAGAUGCUCUAUUUUUGUCCAAAUCUACUUGGACAAAAUCCUGGAUAAAUAACUGGAAUGUAACACAGAAAGGCAAAGGUUGGAAAAUAUGAAACAGAGUUAACAUAUGUUAUUAGAGUUACAGAAGGAAAAAGAAUGAGAUAAAGAUAUUUAUAAACUAAAAUAGAGUCUGGCAUAAUGCCUUCACCAAAAGAAAUUCUAAAGGAUGAAUCUUGACUCUACUACAUGAAAAUUAUUUCCAUAUGAAUCACAGAUCUAAAUAUGAAACGCAAUCAAUAAAGCACUUAAAAGAAAACAUGAACAUUUAAUCUUUACUUUGGAGUAGGCAAAGGUUUUUAAAAUUGGACACCAAAAUCACUAGCCAUAAAAGAAAGCAGAUAAACUGGACUUUAUUACUAACUACUUCUGCUUAUUAACAGGUAAUAUUAAGAGAAUGAAGACCAGUCCCCUGCCUGGCAGAAGAUAUUUGCAAAAUAUAAAUCUGACAAAAGACUCAUAUCCACAGUACAGAGGUAACU